AAGGAGUCUAACAUGUGUGCGAGUGCUCGGGGUUAAACCCCCCAGCCCGGAAUGAAAGGAAAGGUGAACUUGUUCACUGAGGUAGGAACCUUACGCUGCACUAUCGUCCUACCAUGAUCCUCCGUGUGAAAGAUUUGAGUGUGAGCAUACAUGUUGGGACCCGAAAGAUGGUGAACUAUGCCUGAAUAGGGCGAGGCCAGAGGAAACUCUGGUGGAGGCUCGCAGCGGUUCUAACGUGCAAAUUGAUCGUCGAAUUUGGGUAUAGGGGCGAAAGACUAAUCGAACCAUCUAGUAGCUGGUUCCCGC
rnacentral:sRNA from 1 species